rnacentral:tRNA from 1 species
GCCGGAGUGGUGAAAUUGGUAAACACGCAGCGUUCAGGACGCUGUGCCCGCAAGGGCUUGGAGGUUCAAGUCCUCUCUCCGGCA